GUGCUCACUUCGGCAGCACAUAUACUAGAAUUGGAACAAUACAAAGAAGAUUAACAUGCACAAUGAUGACACACAAAUUCGUGAAGCAUUCCAUAUUUUU
ensembl:snRNA U6 U6 spliceosomal RNA